rnacentral:rRNA from 1 species
CCUACGUGUGGCAGCAGUGAGGAAUAUUGGUCAAUGGGCGGGAGCCUGAACCAGCCAAGUCGCGUGAGGGAAGACGGUCCUAUGGAUUGUAAACCUCUUUAGGCGGGGAGCAAUGCCGGGCACGUGUGCCCGGAGGGAGAGUACCCGCAGAAUAAGCAUCGGCUAACUCCGUGCCAGCAGCCGCGGUAAUACGGAGGAUGCGAGCGUUAUCCGGAUUUAUUGGGUUUAAAGGGUGCGUAGGUUGUUUUUUAAGUCAGCGGUGAAAGUUUGUGGCUCAACCAUAAAAUUGCCGUUGAAACUGGAAGACUUGAGUGUGUUUGAGGUAGGCGGAAUGCGUGGUGUAGCGGUGAAAUGCAUAGAUAUCACGAAGAACUCCGAUGGCGAAGGCAGCUUACUAAGCCAUAACUGACACUGAAGCACGAAAGCGUGGGGAUCAAACAGGAUUAGAUACCCGUGUAGUC